rnacentral:rRNA from 1 species
GUCCAGACUCCUACGGGAGGCAGCAGUGGGGGAUAUUGCACAAUGGGGGGAACCCUGAUGCGGCGACGCCGCGUGGGUGAAGAAGCGCCUCGGCGCGUAAAGCCCUGUCAGCAGGGAAGAAAAUGACGGUACCUGAAGAAGAAGCCCCGGCUAACUACGUGCCAGCAGCCGCGGUAAUACGUAGGGGGCAAGCGUUAUCCGGAUUUACUGGGUGUAAAGGGGGCGCAGACGGCGAUGCAAGCCAGGAGUGAAAGGCCGGGGGCCAACCCCGGGGCUGCUCUUGGAACUGCGGGGCUGGAGUGCAGGAGGGGCGGGCGGAAUUCCUGGUGUAGCGGUGAAAUGCGUAGAUAUCAGGAGGAGCACCGGUGGCGAAGGCGGCCUGCUGGGCCGUGACUGACGUUGAGGCUCGAGAGCGUGGGGAGCAAACAGGGUUAGAUACCCCGGUAGU